UUCGGCGGCAGUCGCAUAAGAACGGCGCUAGUUGCGCCACUAUGAGGAUGCAAAUCAGAUUUACUUUAAAUUCAUGCUGUAACAGUCGUGAACGUUAGUUUCCUUUAAGAUUGGACGUGGUGAGUUGAUGUUAGCAAGAAUGCCUGGAGUGGGCGCGCGGGGUAUAUUUGUCUCCCAGCGGUUUUCCAUUGUGAUUAUUUCCGUUACGUUUAAAGUUGCAGCGUUCCCACGCUCAGUACCUUUCAAAUGAGUGCAUUGUUGAAGAUCCGUUUACAGCUAACGUCAGUCGGACAGCUAAACAGAGACCAGCAGGAAGUUGAAGUGAGUUGGGGUACAACCGCCCACCACGCUCCUAUGUACAUAACAAUUUCUUAAGGUAGGUGUUUUCCUUUUUUUUAACAUUUUUCAUACUAAAUUCGCUGUAAGUACAAUAUUUAAAAUUUUUAUUAAUCUGAAUAAAAUAGCUAUGUUAACUGAAGUGAUUCUUACGCAGUUUUCAACAUGUUCUGUAAUUUCAGAAACUGAUACUCAUAAACAUGUUAUUAGUUUAGUGAUGUCAGAUCCGAAGAAGAGUGGGUGUGUCUUCCGACACUGAAGUGUAAAUGAGGUGGCUCGAAGAAGAUGCGGAGAGUGAUGAAAAUGACAUAUUUGAUCCUGAAGAAUCUGAUUCAAAUGAAGAUGAUCAACUGAUGGAAAGCGAUCAUGAUACUGAAACUGAACAAUUUUGCAGAUUAAUACGAUAAUGAGAACGUUUACCCAGCUGGCCGGUGUGGCCGAGUGGCGCUUCAGUCUGGAUCCGCGCGACCGCUAUAGUCGCAGGUUUGAAUCGUGCUUCGGGCAUUGAAUAAAGCUAAGAAAUAAAUAAAAAUUAAAAUUUAA